UACGUAGGGGGCGAGCGUUAUCCGGAUUCACUGGGUGUAAAGGGAGCGUAGACGGCCAUGCAAGCCAGGGGUGAAAGCCCGGGGCCCAACCCCGGGACUGCCCUUGGAACUGCGUGGCUGGAGUGCAGGAGGGGCAGGCGGAAUUCCUGGUGUAGCGGUGAAAUGCGUAGAUAUCAGGAGGAACACCGGUGGCGAAGGCGGCCUGCUGGACUGCAACUGACGUUGAGGCCCGAAAGCGUGGGGAGCAAACAGG
rnacentral:rRNA from 1 species